UACAGAGGGUGCGAGCGUUGUUCGGAAUUACUGGGCGUAAAGGGCUCGUAGGCGGCCAACUAAGUCGGACGUGAAAUCCCUCAGCUUAACUGGGGAACUGCGUCCGAUACUGGAUGGCUUGGAUUUGGGAGAGGGAUGCGGAAUUCCAGGUGUAGCGGUGAAAUGCGUAGAUAUCUGGAGGAACACCGGUGGCGAAGGCGGCAUCCUGGACCAAUAUUGACGCUGAGGAGCGAAAGCUAGGGGAGCAAACGGG
rnacentral:rRNA from 1 species